CAUUUCACACUCUCUUGCAAGUUUGUUCGCUUGUUUCCAGGCUGACAACCCUUGUUAUUUUCUAUAGUGUUUUCUGUUUUGAGUUGUUUCUAGUCUUAGCCAUUUUUCUGGAUUAUUGUCUUGUCUUUCCCAGCAUCCACGCCACACCUCUCCAGUCCCUCUCCUCCUGACCACCUCUCCAACGGAUUACCUUCUCCGGACCAUAUGCCAUAUGCCAGUCCCGCUAGUCAGGUUGAUGCACAGUCCUACAAACUGCUCAUCUCACCAUUGUCUUCUACUCUGUCUUCUCAGCCGUUGUUCACCUCAGCCGACCAGCCAGUGGCAGUCAGUGUCUGCAGUUCUUCCACCAUAACACUGGUGCAGUAGAUGAUGUGCUCAGUAUCUGGGUACAAAGGUCUGACGGGGCCAAGCCUGGUGAUAAACUGACGCUCCUCAAGAACAUUUCAGGAGGUGUCAUGGGCUCCUGGGAACUACACAACAUCAAUCUGAAUGUGACGAAGGCCCGUGUGGUUUUUGA